rnacentral:misc_RNA from 1 species
ACAAACUUGGUCAUUUAGAGGAAGUAAAAGUCGUAACAAGGUUUCCGUAGGUGAACCUGCGGAAGGAUCAUUAGUGAUUAGCCCGGGCGCAAGCCUGGUGCUUUGGGUCUCGCAUGCGUGCUUGACCCUACCUUCACACACACACAACGUGCACCGCCUUCGGGCUUCAAACUAUUAGUAACGAAUGUAAAACAUAUAAGUUAAUACAACUUUCAACAACGGAUCUCUUGGCUCUCGCAUCGAUGAAGAACGCAGC